AUGCGUUUUGAUUCUCAGUAGGAAUCAAUGUCGGUGAAACCAAAGUGGAAAAAUCAAACUACUUCAACAACUCAGAUCAAAAAAAAAAAAAGUCAGUGAACCCUGUUAACGAACACAUGAAGAUGAACAAAUCUACUAUCUCAGGGUUUCUUAAUUUGAGAAAGAGAAGUUAUUCGGUUGAUUUCAGGAACAUUCUUAUUAGAGAAGUCCAUGGUUUGCCAGAACAUCAAAAUAUGAUAUGAUUCUGUACGCAUUAGCUUAUACCAUUGCACUACUCAAUGAAAGAACAAUUUUUGAUUUUAUCAUAAAGUCUGUAUUGAUUUUCGGUUUGAUUGGAUCCUAAGAGUAACAGAACCCUAAACUGAAUCAAAUAAGCUGACAAAGGCAAACCUUGGAUGACCUGAGUCCGGAUCUCUCGAAAAGGGAAUGAAUUACAUUUCAUGGGAACCAAUGAUGUCACCAUUUGGAUGUGUUUAUGCCCGAAGAGAAUUUUACUGGUAGAGGACAUACUGAGAAAAGAGCCAGCAAUCAUUUCCAGGGGGAAAUGUCAAUAUAAUUUCUUUUGAUUUGAACUGUUUUGAGAUCUGGUGGGGAUUGAAAAAUGAAUUGAUUGUAUGCUACAGUUUAGUUCAGCUAUUCAAAUACAACAACGAGGAGCUUAUCACGGGAAUAACACAGAAUAGAAAGGCAAAGAUUGCUUGAUUAGCAAUCAACAAUUUGCUUCAUAGAAGAGGGUAUCCCUUGUGAUUGGUUGUUUAAUUACUAUGUACCAGUUGGUUCAAUCUAUUGUUAAAAUUCUAACAAGGUAAAAUAUUUUCCAUUAAGAUCUCUGUACUAAGUUUCAUUAGGUGUUUAAGCUAGCUUUAGAGAGAGAUUCAAGGUUUCAUUCGAGUAAGCAUGGGUGACAUCUUUACGCUCAAAGAGAUAAAAGUCUGGGUGACAUCUUUGCACUCGAAGAUAUAAAUUAUACUAAAGAAAAUGGGAGUCGAAAAUAUCAAUUGUUUGAUUGAUUCAAUUUUCUAUGUUAAAGUUUCUUUAUUCAGGAUUUUAAUGACCCAAAGAUUGAUUUUUAUUUUUUAUUUUUUUUACCAACAGAAAUUAAUGUUUCCUUUCGCACUAGUUUAAUGGGUCUUCUUCUUCAAACAUGUUAUUCUUUUCUCAUGGCCUUUGUAUGGCUUUGGAUUCUGGCGGAUCACAUCAUUUAUUUUAUUUUACAAGAAAAAUCAAUUUCAACUCUCAUUUCUUAGGUGGCAAACAUGUUACCUCAGGUUUGUUUCCAAAUCAUGUAUCAACUUCAUGGAUUUAAUUGAUAGAGUUGCAGUAGGAAUGAUUAAUUUAUAUAGUUUUUUUGCUGAUGCCUUUUUCUCCCUUUUUGUCGUAGCCAUUCAGUCACUGAUUAAACCCGCGCAAUGCAUAUUCAGAUAUAUUGUUUUCCUGAAAUUUUAUUGUUUCUGUUUCUGAACAGAUGUCAUAGGUAGUUGAAAAGGUUUAUAUGACUUGCUUUAAAUUGACUACUCACUCUCUAUAUCCAUAGAUAUGUGUUUGGUGUUGUCAUCACAUUAUGGAGAUUGCGGGAAAAGAUUGUAAGAACAACAUCUAACUGUCAGAGGUUGUUAAAAUUCAUGUAAGAUUGAUUACUUCUGAAAAGAGUAAGCAUCGUUCCUAUCAUGAUAAAAGUAACCGAUAGCUUACCAGGUUUUACUUGCUAUAGAUAUUCAGAAUGUGUAAUCUAACAGAUCAUUUUUGUUCGAAUCACUCUUGAAUAAUGAAACAAUUGUUGGUUGUGUGUUGGAUGAUGCUGAAGGACACAAUGGUUAGAAGCAUGAGUAAGUGAAGUAACCUUAGGGAAUUAUAAUUCACGCAUGAGUAGUAACAUUACUAUAUAUAAUUAGUGUUGGUGUUGCAAGCUGAAAUGUUCUCCACAGAUCUGAAGUGCGCCAAUAACAUCACAGUCCAUAUGUGUUAUGAAUUUAGUAAUAUAGAUUUUACCUUAAGUAGGUAGGAAAUGUGUAUUUAAUCACGACUUUGAAGUUUCUGAAUUUUUACUUAACUUAUACUAAUUUUAUACAAUGAUUGAUAUGCAGCGUAUGUUGCUGCAAAGAACUCUUCAUGAUCCAUCAACCCAGUGUUAAUGGACCAACCAUUCCUCAAUGGGGAUGGAGUUGGUUAAUUAGAAUGUUGGAUGGCAUCACGGCCAUGGGACUCCAGAAGCAUUACCACGAUCUACAAGAAGGAAAUGCAGCGACAGAAAUGCAAGGAAAUGCAUUGUUAACGUAAUGACAAGUAAUGGGCUCUGUUGGUAUUGUUUUUGUUUAUCGUUGGUGGUGGAGGGUGAUGUCAGUGCAGGUCUUUUCGUUGUUAAAGGGUUUUGGUCGUAGUGAUAAUUUGUGCACCAGCAAUAAUGAUGGUACAAUAUAAAUUUUGAAGCUCCAAACCAUAUAUCUUAUUUGUACCUUAAAUUUUGAAGCUCCAA